UAUAUAUAUAUAUAUAUAUAUAUAUAUAUAUAAAAAAUCCCUAGCCUAUUCAUCAUAUCUAUUACACUUUAAGGAAUACAAUAUUUACAUUUAAAAAUAUAUUGAUAACAACUGAACAAAACUUUCCAAAUUCACGUAGCAUAAAAUAUAUAUAUAUAUAAAAAAAUCCCUAGCCUAUUCAUCAUUAAGGAAUACGAUAUCGCCUAUUACAUUCACAUUUAAAAAUAUAUAUUGUUUCUUGAACUCGUUUCAAAUCCGUUUCAAAACUCCAAAUCUCCUUCCUUUUUCGUUAUGAACCGGGGAAAAUAACAAGAUUUCCGAGUUAACCCGAAACGAUCACUCGGUUAUCACAGUUUUUCAACCCCUGAGCGUGUAAUUCCCCUUUCCCUUCCCCUCUUCCCUCCCCUUCCCUUCCUCGUUAUCGCGCAUAGCCCGCCACACGAUUCUUCGCUCGGGACGAGCGGCGAUAAAAGCGAAAUUCGAGGCGAAACACUCGUGGAAAAUUGGGAAUAGGAAGAGUAGGAAGAGGAGGGGGGAGGGGGGCGGAGAGGGAAAUCGUAGAUCACCGCGGGAAAACGACAAUCGGUUAUAUACACCGGCAAGUGGCCGAUUGCGCAUCGGGUAUUACGGAAGUUACGUUUGACAAACCGCAUGUAAGCGGAACAGGGACACGGAGGGGAGGGGGGGGGGAGGACUCGCCGCGAUUCCGUGUGUAAUUUUAUGUUUGCGCUUGUUGAACCGUGAUCGCGUUUCUGCGGCGGCCUAAGCGGCACGCGUGCGGUUAUACCCGAUCACGGCCACUAUCACUCUAUUUGCCCGUUUCUCUGUUCUACCCCGCCAUACCGGAAUCGUAUCCCUCCUCCCCUCCCCCUCCCGUAUCAUAAUGCCCUAUCUCCCCGAUUAUCGCGCCAUUUCCACUCGGAAUUCGAUUUCGAGCUCCGUUUCGCCGAUAUUAAUUAGGAGUUGAGCCGACGAUCGAACAACGGGCGAGAGGAAAUUUUGAACGGUUGGGUUGGAGGAAAAUUUGACAGGGGGCGCAUCGAACGUAAUGGCGACGAUACGCGAUUUAAGCCGAUUUUCACGUCACGUGGUCAACGGGAUUGUUCACAAUGCCCCGAUUAUCGCGCCAUUUCCACUCGGAAUUCGAUUUCGAGCUCCGUUUCGCCGAUAUUAAUUAGAAGUUGAGCCGAAUGGAGAGCCUUUUUUUUAUCCCUCGAUCGAAUAAAAUAUGAUAUUUCGCGAAUGAAUCUGGCGAAUAAACUUUUCUGAGGAAUAAUUUUUCUUUUUUCUUUUUCCCUCCCUUUCAUUUAUAUUGAAUUUCGAAAUGCAAAUCUGGGAAACUAAUUUCUUCCGAUUUUUCUUUUAUUCUUGUAGAGAAUCGUGGAUGGAAUGAAUAGUUUGUUUUUAUUAAAAAUUUAAUUUUAAAUUUUUGUAAUUUUUGAGCAUAAUUGGAUUUUAAUUAUUAUUGUUAAUAAAUUAUAUUAGUUUUAAAAUUGUAUUAAUUGAUUAUGUGUAAAAUAUAAAAAUAAAAAUUAUAAUUAAUAGAGGAUUCUGAAACAACAAAUGAAAGUUUCAUUCAGAAAUUAAUUUAAGUAAAGAUAAAUAUAAAUAUGCCAGCUACAUAAACUUGAUUUAUAAAUUAAUUAAUUCCAAUAGAAAUUUUACUGCAUUGUUGAAAAUAUGAAAAAGAGUGAUCCAGCUGUGACCAUGCAUUAAUAAUUGAUGCAAAGUGAAGUUUGAUAUCUAAUUCUGUUAUGUCAAUGAAUCUUUCAA